UAUGUAUGUAGACAAUCAAGGGAUAAAUCAUUCAUAGAAAAGUAUUCUAUAAUCUGCUCACACACUAUACUCUCCAUAAUUUUACUCAACACAGGCAAUAAACAUGUAGGACAAUAUUUUACCCAGAGAAUUGUAACCUUAAAUUUUUAGGCAGUGGAAUUAUUUUAGCAAUUUUCCAUUUUUGAGACAUAGACAUUCACUUAAACUUUGGUUUAUAAUAUGACAGAUAACUGGGGCAAUUAGGUCUGCAAACAAUUUAAGAAGUUUUGCAUAAGGCCAUCC